rnacentral:rRNA from 1 species
CCUGGUUGAUCCUGCCAGUAGUCAUAUGCUUGUCUCAAAGAUUACGCAAUGUAUGUGUUAGUAUGAACUAAUUCAUAUUGUGAAACUGCGAAUGGCUCAUUAAAUCAGUUAUAGUUUGUUUGAUGGUAUCUUCUACUCGAAAAACCGUAGUAAUUCUAGAGCUAAUACGUGCAACAAACCCUAACUUCUGGUAAGGAUGCAUUGAUUAGAUGAAAGGCCGACGUGGGCUCUACCCGUUGCUGCGAUGAUUCAUGAUAACUCGACGGAUCGCACGGCCCUUAUGUUUGCGAUACAUCAUUCAAAUUUCUGGUCUAUCGACUUUUGAUGGUAAGAUAGUGGCCUACCAUGGUGGUGACGGGUGACGGAAAAUUAGGGUUCGACUUCGGAGGAGGAGCCUGAGAAAUGGUUACCACAUCCACAGAAGGCAACAGACACACAAAUUACCCAAUCCUGACACGGGGAGGUAGUGACAAUAAAUAACAAUACCAGGUUCUUUGAGUUUGCUAAUUGGAAUGAGUUACAAUCUAAAUCUCUUAACGAGGAUCCAUUGGAAGGAAAGUCUGGUGCCAGCAGCCACGGUAAUUCUAGCUCCAAUAGUGUAUAUUUAAGUUAUUGCAGUUAAAAAGCUCGUAGUUAGACUUUGAGAUGGGCUGACCGGUCCGCCAAUCGGUGUGAACUGAUCGUCUCGUCCCUUCUGCCGGCGAUGUGCUCCUGGUCUUAAUUGGCUGGGUCGUGCCUCCGGCGCUGUUACUUUGAAGAAAUUAGAAUGUUCAAAGCAAGCCUAUGCUCUGGAUAUAUUAGCAUGGGAUAACAAUAUAGGAUUUCGGUCCUAUUUUGUUGGCCUUCGGGAUCGGAGUAAUGAUUAACAGGGACAGUCGGGGGUAUUCGUAUUUCAUAGUCAGAGGUGAAAUCCUUAGAUUUAUGAAAGACGAACAACUGUGAAAGCAUUUGCCAAAGAUGUUUUCAUUAAUCAAGAAUGAAACUUGGGGGCUCGAAGACGACCAGAUACUGUCCUAGUCUCAACCAUAAACGAUGCCGACCAGGGAUCGGUGGAUGUUACUUUAGGACUCCGCCGGCACCUUAUGAGAAAUCAAAGUUUUGGGGUUCCAGGGGGAGUAUGGUCGCAAGGCUGAAACUUAAAGGAAUUAACAGAAGGGCACAACCAGGAGUAGAGCCUGCGGCUUAAUUUGACUAACUACGGGAAAACUUACCAAGUCCAGACAUAGUAAGGAUUGACAAACUGAGAGCUCUUUCCUUUCCUUUUUUUUAUCUAAAUGUAAAAAUAUAUUAAGAUAAAAAAUGAAGUUACAUAUACAUACAGGCAUACCCGCGGCUUUCAUACAACUACUCGGCAGACAUGCCGAGAACAUUCACUCAAACUACAUCAAGGAGAAGUACAAAGUUUAAUCAAGUCAAAAUAUGGGGAUAUGAGGCAUAAAUUACCUUAUAUACCUGUAUUUUGAUCUUGCUUACAAUAUAGUCCCUAUCCGGUGAAUAGCUUCCAAAAACUACUCUGUUCCUGCACUUCCAAAGGUAGUACACUAUCGCUUCAAAGCAAAGCUUCUUGAAGCUGUUAAUCCAUGAAGG